rnacentral:lncRNA from 1 species
AGGGGAAGGAGCGAAGAUGGCGGAGUGAGGCGUGCCCCGGGCAGCUGGCCUGCGGGCCCGGGGCAGGCCUCCCGUGAGAAGCGGAGUACUUGUGCUGGACCGUGUGAGCUAAAUUCUCGGAAAGUCUUUGCUUCUGAAUUCUGGAUCGGGGAGACAUUUGCUGCGUGUGUUGGUGCUCAGGGCCAGAAAUUUACAUCUAUCAAAACCUUGUUUCAGAAAUAAACUGGCAUAUUAGUGAGAGCCAGUUCAAAUGGAAAAAUCAUAAUGAACCAUAUCACACAAGAUGAAUAUUUUCCUGACCUUAGGUGCUUUUAUAUUCAGCUCAACAUUCUGAACUCAGGACUUGGCACGUAAGUAGAUAGAGAUAAUCAUCCCAAGUCCUGUUGUAGCGGCUUGAAAGGCUCCAUAGAAGCGACAUACUAAACUGUUAAGAGCAACAGAAGAUGAAGAUAAAAAUGAGUACAAGCCAGCUACCAUGGCUCACCUUUAUGCCCAGCUCUUGGGACCUGGGGAACUGAGGUGAGGAUUGAGAGUUUGAAGCUAAUCUGGGCUAUUCUGGGUAGCAAGACAUUUGUGUUAAUAAAUAAAACCCACAA